CUGUACCCGUGUAAGUCCAUUUUUUGGCUAUUCCUUAGAAAUUUUGCUCUGCUUUGGCCAAAAAUAUAUUUUUUUUUGGCAUUAAGAAAAAGAUUGUUUUUAAAUCUUCAUUUUCUCCUGUAUUCUGAAGGGCAUGAGAUCACACAAGAAGAGACAGAAUGAUGGCUGAAAAUAGGCUUUGAAGCUGUAUUGAAAGAAGUAACUUCCUUCCUUUUAUCUGUUUCUCAGCCUUCCUCAGAGCCAUAGCACGGCGUAUGUAUACUUCUGGAGGCAGGCAAAGCUAAUACAGGAUGCAACCCACUGUGUUAAACCAGCUCUUUCCAUAACUCAGGGGGACUUGCUCAUCAAUGGCAGGUGAUAUCACAUACGUGGACGUGGCAAUGCUACCAAGGGAAAGACCACAGGUUCCUUCUCGGACAUCAGUUCCAGGAAACGUGAUCACAUACGCUGAGCUGCGCGUGAAGCCCAAAGCCGAAGGGAGCAGCAGAUCAGAGACUUCCGCUUCUGGCUGCCGAGAUGGGCGCUCAGCCUGGUUCUACGUGUCGCUGGUCCUGGGAGUCCUGGUGCUCGUCCUGCUAGGUGUCCUAGCCGCACUAGCCAAGCAAUGUGAGUAGCUCCUACCACCCUCUUCAUCUCUUCGUUGCAGACAUGGUUAAACCUCACAAGCAGAGUGAUGCCAAAAGAAAAACUCCCUUAAUGUCACAU
rnacentral:lncRNA from 1 species